rnacentral:rRNA from 1 species
AACGAACGCUGGCGGCAUGCCUAACACAUGCAAGUCGAACGAUGCCUUCGGGCAUAGUGGCGCACGGGUGCGUAACGCGUGGGAAUCUGCCUUUCGGUUCGGAAUAACUCAGGGAAACUUGAGCUAAUACCGGAUAACGUCGCAAGACCAAAGAUUUAUCACCGAAAGAUGAGCCCGCGUAGGAUUAGCUAGUUGGUGAGGUAAAGGCUCACCAAGGCGACGAUCCUUAGCUGGUCUGAGAGGAUGAUCAGCCACACUGGGACUGAGACACGGCCCAGACUCCUACGGGAGGCAGCAGUGGGGAAUAUUGGACAAUGGGCGAAAGCCUGAUCCAGCAAUGCCGCGUGAGCGAUGAAGGCCUUAGGGUUGUAAAGCUCUUUUACCCGGGAAGAUAAUGACGGUACCGGGAGAAUAAGCCCCGGCUAACUCCGUG